AACGAACGCUGGCGGCAGGCCUAACACAUGCAAGUCGAACGAAGUCUUCGGACUUAGUGGCGCACGGGUGAGUAACACGUGGGAAUAUACCUUACGCUGGGGGAUAACAUCGGGAAACUGAUGCUAAUACCGCAUACGCCCUUCGGGGGAAAGAUUUAUCGGCGAAAGAUUAGCCCGCGUCCGAUUAGCUAGUUGGUGAGGUAAUGGCUCACCAAGGCUCCGAUCGGUAGCUGGUCUGAGAGGAUGACCAGCCACACUGGGACUGAGACACGGCCCAGACUCCUACGGGAGGCAGCAGUGGGGAAUAUUGGACAAUGGGCGCAAGCCUGAUCCAGCCAUGCCGCGUGAGUGAUGAAGGCCUUAGGGUUGUAAAGCUCUUUCACCCACGACGAUGAUGACGGUAGUGGGAGAAGAAGCCCCGGCUAACUUCGUGCCAGCCGCCGCCGUAA
rnacentral:rRNA from 1 species